rnacentral:rRNA from 1 species
GUGAACGCUGGCGGUAGGCCUAACACAUGCAAGUCGAACGGCAGCACAGUAAGAGCUUGCUCUUACGGGUGGCGAGUGGCGGACGGGUGAGGAAUACAUCGGAAUCUACUUUUUCGUGGGGGAUAACGUAGGGAAACUUACGCUAAUACCGCAUACGACCUACGGGUGAAAGCAGGAGAUCUUCGGACCUUGCGCGAUUGAAUGAGCCGAUGUCGGAUUAGCUAGUUGGCGGGGUAAAGGCCCACCAAGGCGACGAUCCGUAGCGGGUCUGAGAGGAUGAUCGUCCACACUGGAAAUGAGACACGGUCCAGACUCCUACGGGAGGCAGCAGUGGGGAAUAUGGGACAAGGGGAGCAAGCCUGAUCCAGCCAUACCGCGUGGGUGAAGAAGGCCUUCGGGUUGUAAAGCCCUUUUGUUGGGAAAGAAAAGCAGCAGGUUAAUACCCCGCUGUUCUGACGGUACCCAAAGAAUAAGCACCGGCUAACUUCGUG